rnacentral:tRNA from 1 species
GGGCUCCAGACCAGGCGGUCCACGGCGCUAGGGCUCUGGACCCGGAGGUCCGGGGUUCGAAUCCCCGCGGGCCCACCA